rnacentral:rRNA from 1 species
AGCAGCCGCGGUAAUUCCAGCUCCAAUAGCGUAUAUUAAAGUUGUUGCAGUUAAAAAGCUCGUAGUUGAAUUUCGGGGUCAGUAGGUUGGUCGUGCCACUGGUAUGUACUGGCUUCACUGAUUCCUCCUUCUUGUAGAACCGUAAUGCCAUUAAUUUGGUGUUGCGGGGAAACAGGACUGUUACUUUGAAAAAUUAGGGUGUUUAAAGCAGGCUAACGCUUGAAUACAUUAGCAUGGAAUAAUGAAAUAGGACGUUCGAUCCUAUUUUGUUGGUUUCUAGGAUUGACGUAAUGAUUAAUAGGGAUAGUUGGGGGCAUUAGUAUUCAAUUGUCAGAGGUGAAAUUCUUGGAUUUAUUGAAGACUAACUACUGCGAAAGCAUUUGCCAAGGAUGUUUUCAUUAAUCAAGAACGAAAGUUAGGGGAUCGAAGACGAUCAGAUACCGUCGUAGUCUUAACCAUAAACUAUGCCGACUAGGGAUCGGAUGAUGUUAAUUUUUUAAUGUACUCAUUCGGCGCCUUA